rnacentral:lncRNA from 1 species
UGAUUGUGUCUGAGGACAGACUGUUUUUCAGAUGAUCAUGGCCUGCUGUUGUCACCAUGUUCAUGGUUCCAUCACUCAGGGGCCAUUACUUGAAUCCUCCAUUAAAAUUGUAAGUCAUUGUGGAGGUGAUCCUGAACUUUUUAGGUUUUAGAAGUGAGUGCAAGCUCUGGCAGGUCCUACCAAGACAGGGCUGGCUUCAAGGACAAGCUUGGGUUGGACUCUGUUGUCUGUCACCAGAGAAACAGCAGGACUCAGUUUGGAGACGCUCAUUACCAGAGGGAUGACCAUGUCGUAAUUCAUUUCUUUCCAGCUCCAUGAACUUAGGAAAUCAUCUCUAAAGGUGGGGAGAGGGCUGUCCUAUGCUCUGUACUAAGCAGCACCAUGAGAUGAAAUCAAGGAUCCUUGAAAUUUGGAUUCAUUUUCAGAUGAGGAAACUGAGGCAAACAGGAUUGAAUGACUGGUCCAGAGUCACAAAGCUAGUAAACGUUUAAGGCUAGAUUUGAACUCAAGUCUUUCUGGCUCCAGGUUGCUGCCUUGCAUAUAAUUUACAGAAGAAAAUUUGGAGAACCUCACUAUCUACAAGGAAUUCUGCUGGAAUUUUUUUAAAGCAUCUACUACACUUGGUUUCCCCCUCUUUUUCAGAUAUCUUUAGAAUUGUUUCCACAUGAGUUUUCUUUGUGCAUUACUGUUUUGGCAUAGUGGAUGUUCCUAUCUUUAUUUGAUCAACAUUUCGACUCCAUCACGUAAUACCUUGAAGAACUAUAAAAAUGUUAGAACCAAAAUGCAAUGAUUCUAUUGUCAUUCACAGGAAAAUAGUUUGUCAGAGAAUUUUGACAGAUUUCUUGCAUUUUCAGCCAUUUAGGUAAGGGGAUCAUAGAUUUAGAUUUAGAAGGGACAUCAGAGAUCACCUAUUUUAAUUUCAUUUUAUAGAUGAGGAAAUUGAGUCUUGGAGAGACUAAUGGGGUUAUGUAGCUGGCAGUUAGAAUUCAAGCUUAGUUCUUUCCAUUCUAAAUCCAGAAUUAUUUCUACUCUCUUACUCUUCAAUUAUUUGGGACUUAUUUGGGUCUCUCAUCAAGCUUUCUAGAAACCUGUUUUUUGCUCUUUUUAAAGGAAAUAAUGUUUUAAGAAGUAAUGCAAUCUAAAUUCUCUUCUCCCAUCCCAUACAUUUAACUAAGCUUCUCUGUUACUUUUGGUGGCUCUCUACUUAACAAAGAAAAGAAAAUUUUCUACUUGAAGCAAUUUUAAGAUUCUUCUGUCAUUUUGGGGGAAAUGAUUGAUUUGAAUGGGUUACAUUUUAUUAGAAUCGUGAGUGUCAAUGUCUCUUAUCCAUUUCCUGUUUUUCAACACUAGUUUGGGUAAAGAAUUCAGGUUUGAGCUGACUCAUUUGAAUGCCAUAUUGUUUUAUUUUUUGUUCUAUCAUCUACUUUGGGAUUAAUUUCCAUCUUGACUGAUAGCCUGGCUAUACAAAUACAACCGAUUCAGAAAUGUCUC